AUGGGCCUACGGGGCGCAGCAGUGGGGAAUAUUGCACAAUGGGGGGAACCCUGAUGCAGCGACGCCGCGUGGGUGAAGGAGCAUCUCGGUGCGUAAAGCCCUAUCGGCAGGGAAGAAACAGACGGUACCUGACUAAGAAGCCCCGGCUAACUACGUGCCAGCAGCCGCGGUAAUACGUAGGGGGCAAGCGUUAUCCGGAUUUACUGGGUGUAAAGGGAGCGUAGACGGCAGUGCAAGUCCGGAGUGAAAGCCCGGGGCUCAACCCUGGGACUGCUCUGGAAACUGUAAAGCUGGAGUGCGGGAGG
rnacentral:rRNA from 1 species